rnacentral:rRNA from 1 species
GACGAACGCUGGCGGCGUGCUUAACACAUGCAAGUCGAACGGUGAAGCGCCUUCCUUUUUGGUGGGUGUGGAUGAGUGGCGAACGGGUGAGUAACACGUGAGUAACCUGCCCCCUUCUUCUGGAUAACCGCAUGAAAGUGUGGCUAAUACGGGAUAUUCUGGGUCUGUCGCAUGAUGGGUCUGGGAAAGAUAUUGUUUCGGUGGGGGAUGGGCUCGCGGCCUAUCAGCUUGUUGGUGGGGUGAUGGCCUACCAAGGCGGUGACGGGUAGCCGGCCUGAGAGGGUGGACGGUCACACUGGGACGGAGACACGGCCCAGACUCCUACGGGAGGCAGCAGUGGGGAAUAUUGCACAAUGGGCGCAAGCCUGAUGCAGCGACGCCGCGCGAGGGAUGGAGGCCUGCGGGUUGUGAACCUCUUUCGCCAGUGAAGCAGGCCUGCCUCGUUUGUGGGUGGGUUGACGGUAGCUGGAUAAGAAGCGCCGGCUAACUACGUG